GUCAUGCUGAUUGUAGAUGUCGCCUCUUCCAGUGACUUACUGAUAAAAGUGAUUCGACAAAUAUUUGAUUUCAGUGAGACCCGUGACGCACAAGGGGAAGUAAUCUACGACACAGCCCUUCCAAUAUGGCGCCGAGGUCGUGUCAGUCCAUAAGAAGCAGAGAUCAUCUGCUGGACGAAGAUGUCCUCGACGAUGCAGCCCCCAGAGAGGAAGAGGUCAGCAAGGGGAAGGACACGCCGAUAUCCACAGUGACCCGCCUCGCGCUGAACAUGGACCUGGGGGGCAACGAGGCGUUCUGCAACUUCGAACACCUGUACACCAUGCCGAAUCUUCAGACGCUCGGCAUGCCGCUAAACCUCGUGUCUGUGACGUCAUUGGUCUCUGGUCCUACCGCUACUCUCCUCAUCCGCUGAUUGGUUGGAUCAGCGACCGAGGCGCCACCCCGCACACGCGCAAGGCCGUGGCAGUUCUCGGCACCGCCGCCAUCCGCCUGGUGGGCAUCGCCACCGUCAUACUGGCCAACUUGCUCAUGAUGGCCACGCACACCGGAAGUGUGCCUUCCACAGUAGGAUCCGGCACUGUAAACUUCACGACGACGUCACGUGACUGGGAUGCGACUGCUAAAAGAGAACACCACCACCGUGGUCGACUGGGCGUCGACAGGGUCAGGAUGAAUGACGUCAGCGUCAGUGACCUCAGCAGCCGGAAGUCAAGAUGACGUCAUACCGCUGGUCGCCUGGCUGAGCAUGCUGGGAUUCGUCCUCAUCGAUAUCGGCGUGGACUCGAACAGCGCGGCCGUCAAGAUUUACGCGGUGGCCAGCGCCCGCGCAGUCAGCAGACGUCUGUCCUGGUCACCGGCGUGUUAUUGGCGGCGCUGGGCGGCAUGGCAACUGCUUCCACCGGGAUGAUCGACCUGGGCGCCCUCGUCGGACCAGCAGACGAGGCAGUCAAAGCCGCUGCUAAAGUCAUCAUACACGGAACGAUCAUCUUUCUGUUGGCCCUGCUGACCUCUUUCGCUACCAUCGUCACAGGAAAGAGACUUGUCAAGGGCAAGCAAACCAGCGAGCCAGAUGAAAAUAAAGGGAGUUCAGAGUUCAGAACCCCAGACGAGGAGUCUGACAGGAAGAGAACCCAAUCCUUCUUGGAGGCCUCCACCAGGAGCAUGUUGCUGUCGUCAAGGAGUUCUGGUCUGGGAUGCGAGACGUCUGCUCUGAUAGACGACAAGAAAACGAGUUUGGAGAGGAUGCCUCUUCUCGCAGAGGUCAGGUCACCGACACUGAGUGAGGACAAUGUCCUAGAGUUGCUUGUUUCCAACGGAAACUACUCCACUAUCCCUGAUGUUCCUUCCAACCGUUUUCAGUCGACUCCGGCACUACAUACGAUGCGGGAAAAUAUGAUCAGCAGAAGGAAGGGUCACUGAUGAAGCCGGGUCAUCGCACUAGUCACCUGCUUUAUUGCCUUGGAAGCGGUUACAAGACAAACAUUGCAUUGCUGUGUUUGUCCACAUUCCUGGGCGUGGCCCAGCUUCUCGUGUACUCCAUGACUAUUUCGGACUUUGUGGGCAAAGGCAUCAUGAAGGGGGAUCCCCUGGCGGCACCUGACAGCGAGAGUCUGGCUCUGUACCAGACAGGGGUCCGGCUGUCCUCUACUGGGUUUCUGGUCUACUACGGCUUUUAUUUGAUCUCCGGCAUUGCCAACGUCAAGUUGCUGAAAAACUCGGUUACAGGUGCGAAUAUCUGGCUGCAAACUUGCUGAUGAGCGCGUGCCUACUGCUGCUGAGGAUCACAGAGAGGAUGGAGGUGUUCUUCCUGCUGUCCGCUUUUGCUGGCAUCCAGCGUCAGUGUCUUCUUGUCAUCCCCUUCGCCGUGGCCAACGACCUUACUCAAACUCAGGAGCAGGGUGGGAGCAAAGGCGUGGGCCGGGUGCUGUCGCUGGUGGGCGCCAUGAUGCCGCUGUCGUAUGUCGCUGUGUACACGUGGAUGGGGGCGCUGGAGGACGUCACGGGCGAUGUCGGGGUCAGCUUGCUGGUGGCCAUGGUCUGCGGCAUCUUGACCUCACUCACUUUCUUGCUCAUCAGGGUCAGCUGAAUUCGGCAUCCGCCAAGUGGGGCGCCACGCGAAGCCAGCGUGACCUCUGACGCAAGCACCGACAUUUUAUUUUAAAGGGGUAGAGAGUAAGUUUAUUAAAGAGGCUGACCUCGCGAUGCGAAUUUUGCUGAGAGCAAGACCUGGGGAAGAUUGGGGUAGAGAACCUGUUCACAAGUACUUCGGCAUGUUCACAUGCACGUUCAUGUGUUCAACUCUAUCUGGGCUAAGGACAUAGGUUUUCAUUUUUUUUACGACACCUGAAACUUUCGGUGGUAUGGCAAGGCCCAGUAAGGCUGUAGGUGAAAACCGCGAACAUAUUUAUAACUGAUUCGC